rnacentral:misc_RNA from 1 species
UCCGUGUUAACCACGGCAGUCCCUCUAGAGUGCCCAACUUAAUGCUGGCAACUAAAGGCAAGGGUUGCGCUCGUUGCGGGACUUAACCCAACAUGUCACCACACGAGCUGACGACAGCCAUGCAGCACCUGUCUUCCGGCAGUAUUGCUACUGAAACUGUAUUUCUACAGCGGUCCGGAGAUGUCAAACCCAGGUAAGGUUUUGCGCGUUGCUUCGAAUUAAACCACAUGAUCCACCGCUUGUGCGGGCCCCCGUCAAUUCCUUUGAGUUUUAGUCUUGCGACCGUACUUCCCAGGCGGGGUACUUAUUGCGUUAGCUCCGGUUCCACAGGGGUCAAUUCCCAUAAAACCUAGUACCCAUCGUUUACAGCGUGGACUAC